AGCAGCCGCGGUAAUUCCAGCUCCAAUAGCGUAUAUUAAAGUUGUUGCAGUUAAAAAGCUCGUAGUUGAAUUUCGGGAUUGGCGCAUCGGUCGUGCCUUACGGGGUAUGAACUGGUGCAGUCAAUUUCUCACCUUCUGGAGAACCGCGAUGUCCUUAAUUGGGUGCCGCGGGGAACCAGGACCUUUACUUUGAAAAAAAUUAGAGUGUUUAAAGCAGGCAUUUUUGCUUGAAUACAUUAGCAUGGAAUAAUAAAAUAGGACGGCAUGGUUCUAUUUUGUUGGUUUCUAGGACCACCGUAAUGAUUAAUAGGGAUAGUUGGGGGCAUUAGUAUUCAAUUGUCAGAGGUGAAAUUCUUGGAUUUAUUGAAGACUAACUACUGCGAAAGCAUUUGCCAAGGAUGUUUUCAUUAAUCAAGAACGAAAGUUAGGGGAUCGAAGACGAUCAGAUACCGUCGUAGUCUUAACCAUAAACUAUGCCGACUAGGAAUCAGACGAUGUUAAUUUUUUAAUGACUCGUUUG
rnacentral:sRNA from 1 species